rnacentral:rRNA from 1 species
CGGGGGACAACAGUCCGAAAGGAUUGCUAAUACCGCAUACGUCAGCGAGGUCCUUGGACCACGUUGGGAAAGAUGGCCUCUUCAUGAAAGCUAUCACCGGAGGAUGAGUCCGCGGCCCAUCAGCUAGUUGGCGGUGUAAGAGACCACCAAGGCUAAGACGGGUAGCUGGUCUGAGAGGAUGAUCAGCCACACUGGAACUGAGACACGGUCCAG